rnacentral:lncRNA from 10 species
AUAGUUAAUCUUAGGGGGAGUUAUUGUCGAGGUUGGUCUCGAACUCCUGGCCUCAAGCAAUCCUCUUGCCUCACGGAGUUUUCCAAAUGUUCUGUAUGAGCAUGUAUUAUAUCAUGCUCAGAGAAUGUAACAUUUUGAAAUUACUAAAAAUGGUAACAGUUACACUUUCUAACAACUACUACAUUCUCAUAUUUUUAUGAAGUAAGAACACAGUUAUCCUCAUUUUACAGAGGAAAAGCUGAGGCUCAGACAAGAGAUCUCUGCAGGGACACAUAUCUACUAAGUGGCUGAAUCAUGAGUCGACUCAGAUCUGUUUGAUUCCAGAAGCUAAGGCCUGACUGAACACCUGACAUUGUCGUGAAUUUAAAAAAAAAAAAAAAAAGGAAGUAGAUUUUAAAGAGAAGUGCUCAUUAAGUUUAGUCUUGUGAGUCAUAAGUUUGAAGCACUGAAGAGAUGACUGGGGAUGUCUUUUGAACAGGUUAAACAUUGACUGGAGGCUCAGGAGCUCCUCUUUGGAGGUGUUGAUUUGAGAAUUGUUCAGAGAUGUCAAUGAAGCAACAGCAACAGAGGAGACCAUCCGGGAGUAGUUUAGAGAUUGUGAAUAGAAGGAUAUUGCCAAAGACCACUCAGUAAGGAAAGGAGAGUCACAGGAGAGAUGCAGGUAACCUGGAAACUGAGGGAGAGAGGACUUUCAGAUCACUGAGCAUGAUCAAGUGGCAUAAAAUGGCCUUUAGGCAGAGUCUUAUGAUGAGUUUGACAUGAGAAUAUUUAUAGCAUAAACUAGCCUGAACACAGUCAAGGUAGGAAGUAUAAAAUGCCCUUUCAAGAAUGGAAUUGAUGAGGAAUUGGUGAGGGAAAGAUUGUAGUUCAAAAUGAUGGAGACAGGGGAAGGGAUUUUCCCCUUGCAGAAGGCUUGACUCCACUUUUAGGCUGAAUGGAAGGAGUAGGAGGGACAGAAGAGUCAGGAUAGAGAGAAAACAACCCGAAGAACAAGUUCCUUGAGGAAAUGGAAAGGGAUGCCACACACAGAUGAAGCCUUCUGUAAGCAGUCUAAUAACCCCUUGGACUUAGUUGUUUUCAGGACAAGCCCAGGGGUGGCAUCUCCCGGAUGGAAAUACAAACCAAACAUCUGCCAGGCAUGUACCAAGGGUUCCAUACUUGACGUCAUCUUAUCUUGGAGAAGAGAUUCUCACACUAUGGGACUGACUCAGACAUCAUGCCUCUUCAGCCAGGCAGAGGAACUGACAUUCCCUAAGGUAUCCUAUAACAUAGCUAUAUCAGAGAUGGCCACAUGAGGAGGCCAGGACAUCAUUGAGCAACAUGCCUUGUGGUUGAGCUUCAUACUACCAUGACCAAGAGUCCAGGUCAAGAAUGCCAGUGUGCUUCUCUCAACAAAACAUAGCUUGAUUCUGGGCUUUUAGGCUUUUAGGUUCUUUCUAUCUUCUGAAACUCAUCCAAGAUUUUCAGCUCAUACUUUAAACACGUUGAGGUUAUCUUUGAAACACAACAGCAUCUCCCCUGAGAUCACCCUCUUAGUUUACGCAGUUUUAAGUUGGGGGUUUUAUUCAUUUAAAUGAAAAUGUAAGAAUUUUAAUUUAGGUUGAAAUUUUCUAAUGUUAGCUUUGAAUGCAAUUUAGAUGAAGCAUAAUAAAUGCAGGUUCAAAUUCAACCAGCCAUUUCUGAGAACUGUGCCUGGCACUGUGCCCAGUCCUCUCUGAUGAGCAUACACUCUUGUCUUCUCAACAUUCACCCUGCCUUCUUCUGUCAACCCCAAAUCAGGUGAGGCCAGCUAGUGAACAGUAUCUGAACUCAAUCACUGAGUUCACCCAGAAUCUAAUUGGCCUCGCUUGUGAAAUAUGUUAUUUUGAUGAGGAAUCAGAGGGCCAAUUAGCUGAGAUGCUUUGGACAAGUCCUCCAUUUAGUCACCUGUAAAAUGAGAAGAGGACAAGGAAUUGGAUGAGGCAUCUCUAAGACCCUUCUGGCCCUAAAGUCUCGGCUUCUUCAAGUCACAGAUGUGAGCAUGUCUCUUGUUACAUCAGAGCUGCCCUUUCUCUGUCAUCAGCCCACAAGUUAUCUACCGGGAGGCACACAAACAUAUCCAUACACAUCCUGAGCCCACACCCCUGCAGCAAACAGCCUCACCCAGUUUCACACAAAGAGAAGCCACCUGCACAUGUGACCAACCCUAGCGGCUCCUGAGCAGCUGCUCUUCUUUGCUCUCUAAGGCAGCAAAAGGGAUGUAUUUCCCUCAUCGAAUCUUUUUUCUCUUAAAGAAUCAGAAGCCUCCUUCACUCUUGCCUUCUCACUAUCUGGACUUCAACCCUGUUUACUAUAACUGGCUGUUUAGCUAUCUAAAUUUUCUAUGUGACCAUGAAUUCCACAAGGAAAACACCUAUUUGUCAUCUUACUGAGUGUUUUGGCUUCAGCAACUAGCUGGGAGCUAGAUACAGAGGCAUCGAUUGCUGAAUAACCUUGUCACCCCUCCCGGCCCGCUCUUGUGGUGAAUUAGAGACAACUGCAUGUUCUCUGACACCUCCCCAGUCAAGAGAUGAAGUCCAAAUCCCCUUUCCUUCUAUCUUGGCAGGCAGAUCCCAUUUGUAUUUAUUUAUUUAUUUAUUUUUUUUUUUGAGAAGAGUCUCACUCUGUCACCCAGGCUGGAGUGCAAUGGCUCUAUCUCGG